CUACGGGUUGCAGCAGUAAGGAAUAUUGCGCAAUGGAGCCAACUCUGACGCAGCCAUGCCGCGUGCAGGAAGAAGGCCUUAUGGGUCGUAAACUGCUUUUAUUUAGGAAUAAACCCCCGAACGUGUUCGGGGCUGAAGGUACUAAACGAAUAAGCACCGGCUAACUCCGUGCCAGCAGCCGCGGUAAUACGGAGGGUGCAAGCGUUAUCCGGAUUUAUUGGGUUUAAAGGGUGCGCAGGCGGGCUAUUAAGUCAGUGGUGAAAUCCCGGGGCUCAACUCCGGAACUGCCAUUGAUACUGAUAGUCUUGAGUUUGGUUGAAGUGGGCGGAAUGUAGCAUGUAGCGGUGAAAUGCAUAGAUAUGCUACAGAACACCAAUCGCGAAGGCAGCUCACUAAGCCAAAACUGACGCUCAUGCACGAAAGCGUGGGGAUCAAACAGGAUUAGAUACCCUCGUAGUC
rnacentral:rRNA from 1 species